AAUAGGAUCUCCAACCUACGCAUAUCGAUUUCGACCAGACGGUCGAGAACGUGAACCAUCUCCUCUACCCAAAAAUCAGGCAACCACAACAUUGGAUAACGACGGUUCUCACUGGGGCUACUACCCAGGGACCAUGGUAAGCUUCCGCCAACUCUAAAGAAAUUUGUAGUUGAUUUUUUGAGCUGGUCUUCCAAAAUUUUACCAUGAUAAUGCUGAGAUGGUGGUGCUUUUCACCGUUGUCUACUUCUCACUAAUGUUCCCUGACCAAUGUCUUGCUUUAUUUUAGAGCUAUGACUCGAGAGAGUGAUCCGUACCCGUAGAAUCAUCUAGGGAUGUCAAUCGGGCUCGUCAGCUCUAAAAGCCCGAGCCUACCGAGCCCCAUUUUUGGGACACGGGCUUUGCCUGAGCCGACCUGUCAGCCUAUGAGACUUUAUUUAAAAAAAAAUUUAUGGCAGUAAAAUGCUGCCUUGAAAGGCAGCAAACACUACCUUAAAAAAGGCAGCAGGUUUGCUACCUUUUAAAGGCAACCAACUGCUGCCUUUUUAAGGCAGCAGCUUAAAUUAAAAAAAAAAAAGAGAGAAAACGGAUCGGCCCCGGCUCAGCUCAGAAAGGCCCGAGCCGAAAGCUCGGGUCGAGCCUAAAAUUUUUGGGUGAGCUUUUGCUCGGCCCGACUCGGGCCAGGAAAAAAGCUAGACAAUUUUAACCGAGCCGAGCUCGAGCCUCAAGUUUUGGCUCGCGAGCCGGCUCGACUCGACUCGUUGACAUCCCUAGCAUCACCUUUCCGUCCCUCCGCAAAGAAAGACACUCGAAAGUGGACAAGGUGGAAGCCCCGAGAAAAUCGCAUUUUUAUCCCUGCGGCAGAGCGUGCAACUGCUGAGGGACAUCGUCGUGGUAAAUGUUUCACGACUACAGGCUGGGAGUGCAUCUGUGAACUAUUCAACAAACAGGUCGGGAAGGAUUGGACAACCACUUAGCUAAAGAACCACUGGGUAGUUAUGCGAACAGACCACAAGCUUUUGUUCAAGUUGCUUCUAUAUAUCAAGACUCAAUAUGGACAAAACAACAGGAAUAGAAUUGAAGCGCUGGAUUGGUGGUGGGAGAAAAAAUUGAUGGUAACCUGGUUUAUCGGUUAGAAUUUUCCUUGUCAAAUUUUCCACAUGAGAUCGUCAUUCUCACAAUUGUUAGUGCAUACCUCUGUCCUUUCACAAAACACAAAAGACCAAUAAUUAACCGAAUAGUAUAGAAGCUAGAAAUGGAGAAAGUGGAACGAGUAGAGGGACAGGAAUUGUCACAGAUUCUGCACUAUCUGCCUGGGGGGAAGAAUUUACAUCAACAUAUGGCUGCGCAUUCUAUAUUGCAGUUACAAACAUUGGUUUUUGAUUAUUUAUGUUGUUGAUGAAAAUGUUUCAGGGGUGAUUCUGUUUUAUUUGUUUGGAGUCCACACAAUGUACUACUAGCUCGAAACAUCACCAGCCAAAAGUGGACUAAAAUUUUGUUCUUUUCUAGUGUUUUUUUUUCGAUUGGUAGAUUCUGUGCUUGUGUACUGUGUGUUUGAGCGACUAUUUUUUGUUAUAGUUUGAAAUGAAUGGUUUGCAUUUUUGAAUCCGGAACAAAACCCUUUGAGCGAUUGCUUAUUGGUGUCUACAUUUCUGUCAUCGAUUUUCUUUCUGUAUUCAGAACAUUAGGUUGGCAAUGACCAUCUACAAUUAUCUCAACGUCUUCAUUAGUCAUCUUGUAACAUGCAAUUGUUCGUACUUUUUCUUGCAGGAAAACCAAAAGUACGGCAGUUCAAAGACAAUGACAACAGAGAAAUCUACCACAGUUACAUCAAACUCUUUGGUGCCAGUUAGAACUCGACGAAGUAUGCUUUGAUGCCGAUGAAACUUUCGUACUGCGACCUUAAUUUGAGCUCGGACAGCGACGCG
rnacentral:lncRNA from 1 species